AUUGAACGCUGGCGGCAUGCUUUACACAUGCAAGUCGAACGGUAACAGGCCGCAAGGUGCUGACGAGUGGCGAACGGGUGAGUAAUGCAUCGGAACGUGCCCAGUCGUGGGGGAUAACGCAGCGAAAGCUGUGCUAAUACCGCAUACGAUCUAUGGAUGAAAGCGGGGGACCGUAAGGCCUCGCGCGAUUGGAGCGGCCGAUGUCAGAUUAGGUAGUUGGUGGGGUAAAGGCUCACCAAGCCAACGAUCUGUAGCUGGUCUGAGGGGACGACCAGCCACACUGGGACUGAGACACGGCCGAGACUCCUACGGGAGGUAGCAGUGGGGAAUUUGGGACGAGGGGCGCGAGCCUGAGCCAGCAAUGCGGCGUGCAGGAAGAAGGCCUUCGGGUUGUAAACUGCUUUUGUACGGAACGAAAAGGUUUGGGUUAAUACCCUGGGCCGAUGACGGUACCGUAAGAAUAAGCACCGGCUAACUACGUGCCAGCCGCCGCGGUAAAAC
rnacentral:rRNA from 1 species